rnacentral:tRNA from 4 species
GGCCAAGUAGCUCAGUUGGUAGAGCAGGGGACUGAAAAUCCCCGUGUCGGUGGUUCGAUUCCGCCCUUGGCCACCA